ACUCCUACGGGAGGCAGCAGUGGGGAAUAUUGCACAAUGGGCGCAAGCCUGAUGCAGCCAUGCCGCGUGUGUGAAGAAGGCCUUCGGGUUGUAAAGCACUUUCAGUUGUGAGGAAGGUGGUGUCGUUAAUAGCGGCAUUAUUUUGACGUACCUACAGAAGAAGCACCGGCUAACUCCGUGCCAGCAGCCGCGGUAAUACGGAGGGUGCGAGCGUUAAUCUGAAUUACUGGGCGUAAAGCGCAUGCAGGCGGCCUGUUAAGUCAGAUGUGAAAGCCCGGGGCUUAACCUCGGAAUUGCAUUUGAAACUGGCAGGCUAGAGUCUUGUAGAGGGGGGUAGAAUUUGCA
rnacentral:rRNA from 1 species